AUAGGAUGUCCCCAGACCCCAUAGAAUGUCCCCAUACCCCACGUAUCUCCCCAUAGAAUCCAUAGGAUGUCCCCAAGACCCCAUAGAUCACCCCAUAGACCCCAUAGGAUGUCCCUGAGACCCCAUAUGGUGCUGCUGAGACCCGAUAGAACCCCAUAGAGGUGACAGUGGGACCCCAUGGAGUGCCACCAACCCCACAGAGGUGACAAUGGGACCCCAUAGAGGUGACAAUGGGACCCCAUAGAGUGCCACCAACCCCACAGAGGUGACAAUGGGACCCCAAGGAGUGCCACCAACCCCAUAGAGGUGACAAUGGGACCC
ensembl:lncRNA